UUCACACAAAAAUGACAAUAACGGAGUUGACCAUUAACGCCUCUCCAGUAGGUCUCGCAUAUAGAGCUCAAGAGAAUAGUCCGAGUACGCAGAUACUAAUGACGUAUUACGUAAUUAUUUGCACGAGGUCUUUGGUAAGCCUUUGAUGUUGCAAACACGCUAGUCUAGUUCCAAUUGAAAUUUACAGUUUUGGUAGGACACAAUUUGCUAAUAUGUCUAUGUUUGUACACUUGUAAGUGUAUUCCAUGCACCAGACAAUAUUGAAGUUAUAAUGUCAUAAUUUAGAACUUGAAGAAUGUCUUUGCUGAUGUGAUGUUAAAAUGAUGUUAUUCUGAGUCUGCAGAUCAGAUCUAUAUCUUAUUGACCUGUCAUAUUAUGAGAUGGAUGUUCUGAAAUAUUAUCGUCAUUAAACCUUGUCAUAGAGUAAA